ACCUCUGCAGUCCAAACCUGAUCCAGAACAGUUCUGCCGUGAUGGGGGGUUUGAAUGUCCCUGCUGCAGUUUCACCACUGAAGAGAAGUUCUCUUUUACACUUCACCUAGAGAACCACAUAAGUCAUGCAGUGGACCAUGGAGGUUACUUCAUCUUAAAAUGAAUGGCCCAUGGAAGAUCAUUAAAACCAAGGUUGUCAGAGUCCACCAUCACCAAACAGCCAGCUAGUACGGAAACUGUGAUGGGUCAAGAUGACAGUGAUGAGAAGAUUGAAGAGGAACUGAAGAGGAAGUUCGAAGAGGAACAUAAGGGACAUUGGUGUAGCAUGGUGCUGGGUUCAGAGCCACUGUGAGCUGUUCCAUGGAGAGGUGACAGAGCCUGAAUUUCUCCAGAUGGACGAAGAAAAACAGUCUAAUAUAAUCAAAGACUACCUGAAAAGAGAGACUGAGAAAGCAAGGGAUGCCUGUGUGUUUGUCUUUGACAAUCGCGAGGAUAUGGAAACAUUCUUAUUAAAAUGUGUUGAUGAACAGAGGCUGAA